UUAUUAUUCAUCUGAGUCAAUUGUCGACAGACGUCUGACCACGCGGCCGUUUAAUUAAUUUUUUUUUUUUUUUUUUUUUUAUUUAUAAACACGCCACGUUAACUAGUACCAUGAUAAGUUCGUAAAGAACUUGUGUUACAGGUACCAGAUAACGGAAAUAAAUACGUCUGAGCACGCGGCCUUCCGGCACCCGUUUGAUUAACAUUAUCAAAUCUUCAUCAUGAUCAAAAUGCGCAGAGCAAGAACGCUUCAUAUUCGACUUAUCCAGUCCCCAAGAAGGGUAAAGGACCUCUUGUGAGUCCGCGCGGGUAGGUACCACUACCCUGCUUAUUUCUGCCGUGAAGCAGUAAUUCGUUUCGGUUUGAAGGGCGGGACAGCCGCUGUAACUAUACUUGAGACCUUAGAACUUAUAUCUCAAGGUGGGUGGCGCAUUUACGUUGUAGAUGUCUGUUAGCCCGUCCAACCACCUAAGCAAUAAAUAAAAAAUAAAAAAUUUGGUCGUCUUCAAUUCAGUCGAUGACGGCACAAGCGCGACUCCAUGUCAAGCCGCUGAGCUGAAGACCUCCUGAUAACACUAGUGCCGGUAACGAAAUUAAUGACGGCAUACGUAAUCAGGAGUAACCUCCUCCGCUCCCAGAGCCCAAGAUCAUGUCUCUGGUAUCUCGAAACUACAAAAAAAAUAUCCAUUUCAACAACUAAAAUCGUAUACCUAGAUUAAAACAGAUUUGAUACAUCAUCAUCAUCAUCAUCAUUAUCCUGCCCUUCUCCCAGUUACCUGGGGUCGGCGCAUCAUGUUUUCUCCUUCCAUACUCUUCUAUCAUAUACCAUUUCUUCGCUCACUCCCCUCUUACCCGUAUCGUCUUUCACGCAAUCCAUCCAUUUCUUCUUAGGUCUACCUCUUCCUCUAUAUCCUUCCACAUUCAUAGAUUUGACACAAACACAAUUUAUUUUGUAUGAAAAAAAAACAAAUUGUUCUUCUAUUGAGAGGCAAAAAGAACCUUUGAUAUUGCCUAUCGCAUAUUUUGUGUGGCUUAAUAAUUUCUAAUACAAUCUACAAGUAGAUUUUACAAUACCCAUUUUGAAAUACAUUUAUACAAUACAUUAUUUGUAGCUGU